UGCAUCGGCCGGGAAUCGAACCCGGGCCGCUCACGUGGCAGGCGAGCAUUCUACCACUGAACCACCGAUGG
rnacentral:tRNA from 1 species